AGAGAUCUAAAGUUCAGAUAAACCUAAAGUAUAUGUGAGGCCUUAGGCUAAGUCAUAUUGGAGAAGAAAUGAUUAACAAACAGAAGAAAUAUGAGCUUUUAGGCUUGCCGACUGCUGAGUCAUAUCUAGUUUGUGCAUUAUCUCUUUGAGAAAAUAUGAUCAAGCUACUCUUAUGGGAUAAAAGAAAAAAAAUCAUUGAGAUACUUAUCUUUGUACACACUUGAUGUAUGUAGCC
rnacentral:lncRNA from 1 species